AUUGAACGCUGGCGGCAUGCCUUACACAUGCAAGUCGAACGGCAGCACGGGAGCAAUCCUGGUGGCGAGUGGCGAACGGGUGAGUAAUGUAUCGGAACGUGCCCAGUCGUGGGGGAUAACGUAGCGAAAGCUACGCUAAUACCGCAUACGAUCUAUGGAUGAAAGCGGGGGACCGUAAGGCCUCGCGCGAUUGGAGCGGCCGAGAUCAGAUUAGGUAGUUGGUGGGGUAAAGGCCUACCAAGCCGACGAUCUGUAGCUGGUCUGAGAGGACGACCAGCCACACUGGGACUGAGACACGGCCCAGACUCCUACGGGAGGCAGCAGUGGGGAAUUUUGGACAAUGGGCGCAAGCCUGAUCCAGCAAUGCCGCGUGCAGGAUGAAGGCCUUCGGGUUGUAAACCGCCUUUGUACGGAGCGAAAAGGCUCUCUCUAAUACAGGGGGCUCAUGACGGUACCGUAAGAAUAAGCACCGGCUAACUACGUGCCAGCAGCCGCAGUAA
rnacentral:rRNA from 1 species